rnacentral:rRNA from 1 species
UAGAGUUUGAUCCUGGCUCAGAUUGAACGCUAGCGGGAUGCUUUACACAUGCAAGUCGAACGGCAGCGCGAGAGAGCUUGCUCUCUUGGCGGCGAGUGGCGGACGGGUGAGUAAUAUAUCGGAACGUGCCCAGUAGCGGGGGAUAACUACUCGAAAGAGUGGCUAAUACCGCAUACGCCCUACGGGGGAAAGGGGGGGAUCGCAAGACCUCUCACUAUUGGAGCGGCCGAUAUCGGAUUAGCUAGUUGGUGGGGUAAAGGCUCACCAAGGCAACGAUCCGUAGCUGGUUUGAGAGGACGACCAGCCACACUGGGACUGAGACACGGCCCAGACUCCUACGGGAGGCAGCAGUGGGGAAUUUUGGACAAUGGGGGAAACCCUGAUCCAGCCAUCCCGCGUGUAUGAUGAAGGCCUUCGGGUUGUAAAGUACUUUUGGCAGAGAAGAAAAGGUAUCCCCUAAUACGGGAUACUGCUGACGGUAUCUGCAGA